rnacentral:rRNA from 1 species
ACUCCUACGGGAGGCAGCAGUAGGGAAUCUUCCACAAUGGGCGCAAGCCUGAUGGAGCAACACCGCGUGAGUGAAGAAGGGUUUCGGCUCGUAAAGCUCUGUUGUUAAAGAAGAACACGUAUGAGAGUAACUGUUCAUACGUUGACGGUAUUUAACCAGAAAGUCACGGCUAACUACGUUCCAGCAGCCGCGGUAAUACGUAGGUGGCAAGCGUUAUCCGGAUUUAUUGGGCGUAAAGAGAGUGCAGGCGGUUUCUAAGUCUGAUGUGAAAGCCUUCGGCUUAACCGGAGAAGUGCAUCGGAAACUGGAUAACUUGAGUGCAGAAGAGGGUAGUGGAACUCCAUGUGUAGCGGUGGAAUGCGUAGAUAUAUGGAAGAACACCAGUGGCGAAGGCGGCUACCUGGUCUGCAACUGACGCUGAGACUCGAAAGCAUGGGUAGCGAACAGGAUUAGAUACCCCUGGUAGGAUAGCG